ensembl:snRNA U2 U2 spliceosomal RNA
AUCACUUCUCGGCCUUUUGGCUAAGAUCAAGUGUAAAAUAUGUCCACAAAUUAUUUUAUGCUCUUCUUUUCAAGAGGCGGAACUUAA